GCGGGAUUGGCAUAUCGGUUGUGCCCCAGCCUUCCAAGCUGGUCAGAGGGGUUCGACUCCCCUAUCCCGCUCCA
rnacentral:tRNA from 1 species